AGAGUUUGAUCCUGGCUCAGGACGAACGCUGGCGGCGUGCUUAACACAUGCAAGUCGAACGGAAAGGCCCUUCGGGGUACUCGAGUGGCGAACGGGUGAGUAACACGUGGGCGAUCUGCCCUGCACUUUGGGAUAAGCCUGGGAAACUGGGUCUAAUACCGAAUAGGACCACGCGCUUCAUGGUGUGUGGUGGAAAGCUUUUGCGGUGUGGGAUGGGCCCGCGGCCUAUCAGCUUGUUGGUGGGGUAAUGGCCUACCAAGGCGACGACGGGUAGCCGGCCUGAGAGGGUGACCGGCCACACUGGGACUGAGAUACGGCCCAGACUCCUACGGGAGGCAGCAGUGGGGAAUAUUGCACAAUGGGCGCAAGCCUGAUGCAGCGACGCCGCGUGAGGGAUGACGGCCUUCGGGUUGUAAACCUCUUUCAAUAGGGACGAAGCGUGAGUGACGGUACCUAUAGAAGAAGCACCGGCCAACUACGUGCCAGCAGCCGCGGUAAUACGUAGGGUGCGAGCGUUGUCCGGAAUUACUGGGCGUAAAGAGCUCGUAGGUGGUUUGUCGCGUUGUUCGUGAAAACUCACAGCUUAACUGUGGGCGUGCGGGCGAUACGGGCAGACUAGAGUACUGCAGGGGAGACUGGAAUUCCUGGUGUAGCGGUGGAAUGCGCAGAUAUCAGGAGGAACACCGGUGGCGAAGGCGGGUCUCUGGGCAGUAACUGACGCUGAGGGGCGAAAGCGUGGGGAGCGAACAGGAUUAGAUACCCUGGUAGUCCACGCCGUAAACGGUGGGUGCUAGGUGUGGGUUCCUUCCUUGGGAUCCGUGCCGUAGCUAACGCAUUAAGUACCCCGCCUGGGGAGUACGGCCGCAAGGCUAAAACUCAAAGGAGUUGUCGGGGGCCCGCGCCCGCGGCGGGGCGUGUGGGUUUUUUCUUUGCGGCGCGCGGGGCCUUCCCUGGGUUUGUCGUGCUCCGGGCGCCGGCGGCGAUGUCGGUUCCCUUGUGGCCUGUGUGCGGGUGGUGCGUGGCUGUCGUCUGCUCGUGUCGUGGGGUGUUGGGUUGGGUCCCGCCCCGCGCGCGGCCCCUCUCUUUUGUUGCCCGCGCGUUGUGGCGGGGGCUCGUUUGUGGCUGCCGGGGUCGGCUCGGGGG
rnacentral:rRNA from 1 species